UUUUAUUUUAUUCUAGUAACUCAUUGGAAUUUUAUUUUAGAAUUUUAUUGUUUUCCAUCAUGUUUAAUUCUUUGUUUUGUUUAAUAAACAUUUAACUUUUAUUCUGAGGUUGUUUUCAUGAGAAGAAACGUCUUGUUGUACCUCGAUGUUCUACCGAAC